rnacentral:rRNA from 1 species
AUUGAACGCUGGCGGCAUGCCUAACACAUGCAAGUCGAACGGCAGCACGGUCUAGCUUGCUAGACGGGUGGCGAGUGGCGAACGGGUGAGUAACGCGUAGGAAUAUACCUUGAAGUGGGGGACGACUUGGGGAAACUCAGGCUAAUACCGCGUAAUCUCUUCGGAGGGAAGCUGGGGACCGCAAGGCCUGGCGCUUUAAGAUUAGCCUGCGUCCGAUUAGCUAGUUGGUGGGGUAAAGGCCUACCAAGGCGACGAUCGGUAGCUGGUCUGAGAGGAUGGUCAGCCACACUGGGACUGAGACACGGCCCAGACUCCUACGGGAGGCAGCAGUGGGGAAUAUUGGACAAUGGGGGGAACCCUGAUCCAGCAAUGCCGCGUGUGUGAAGAAGGCCUGAGGGUUGUAAAGCACUUUCGGCGGGGAGGAGGAUGAGUUGGUUAAGAGCUGACUUAUUGGACGUUACCCGCAUAAGAAGCACCGGCUAACUCCGUGCCAGCCGCCGCGGUAACAC